GCAUAUUUCACGUUUGUGCGUGAAUCUAACAACCCUUUUCAUCAGAAAAACUGUUGUUGUUUGCUAGAUUCACGCACAAACUCGUAAUAUGUAU
rnacentral:pre_miRNA from 1 species